CAACCCUCGAAGGCCCGCCUCAGGGCCCUCGGUGUUGGGGGACGGCACACCAGCCGCCCCCGAAAUGCAGUGGCGACCCCCGCCGCAGCCUCCCCUGCGUAGUAGAAAACACCUCGCACUGGAGCGCGGAGAGCGGUCACGCCGUAAAACGCCCAACUUCUUAG
rnacentral:misc_RNA from 1 species